rnacentral:rRNA from 1 species
ACGCUCGACACCUACGGGUGGCAGCAGUGGGGAAUAUUGCACAAUGGGGGAAACCCUGAUGCAGCGACGCCGCGUGAGCGAAGAAGUAUUUCGGUAUGUAAAGCUCUAUCAGCAGGGAANAAACUGACGGUACCUGACUAAGAAGCACCGGCUAAAUACGUGCCAGCAGCCGAGUAUCUGAGCGGGCGUGGACGAACGGC